rnacentral:rRNA from 1 species
CGUGAGCAAUCUGCCUUGGGAGUGGGGGAUAACGGCUGGAAACAGCCGCUAAUACCGCAUGACGCGUCUGGGAGGCAUCUCUCUGGACGCCAAAGAUUUAUCGCUCUGAGAUGAGCUCGCGUCUGAUUAGCUAGUUGGCGGGGUAACGGCCCACCAAGGCGACGAUCAGUAGCCGGACUGAGAGGUUGGCCGGCCACAGUUGGGACUGAGACACGGCCCAGACUCCUACGGGAGGCAGCAG